rnacentral:lncRNA from 1 species
CGAUUGCUUUAUUAAUUAAUUCAUUCAUUUGUUUAACAACUUUUAAAAAUUAAAUUACAAUUCAAAUAUAAUAAGGUCAUUACUUCAGAGGCUGGUUUUAAUCACCCUGUGCCAGAUUUCUGCUCGAGUCAUAUACCACAAUUCAGACUUUGAAAAUCAGACUGCCAGUGUCAGAGUUUUCAAAGGAAACUAUGCAUGUUUCAUUAUUUACUCCAGAUAGGCAAGACAAGGUUGAGGUCACCCGUGUUCCUGGCCAAAGAUUAAUGUAACAAUGGGAACAAAUGAGAUAUGCUUGCCAAGCCAAAGACCAGAGAGGAGCGCUGAGUCAGCUAAUAUCGCCUCCUUGGCACAGCAUUGUCAACUUGUGAACUUAGACCUUUCUCUCUGGCACAUUUGGGCAGAGCUGGAAACCCAAGAGCAGAGAGACUCAAUGAUCAGCUCAAAGGGAAAUUCAGAACAAAGCCUUCACCUUCUUACCCGAUGCUUUCUUCAUUAUGGAGAGCAAGUCUCCUUAGAACUCAAGAUUUCUUUUAUUUUCUUUUGUGUUUGUGAGACAGGGCUUCUCGGUAUAGCCCUGAUUAUCCUGCCUGUAGAUCAGUCUGACCUUGAACUCAGAGCUCUGCCUGCCUCUACUUCCUGAGUGCCAGGAUUAAAGGUGAGCACUUCCACUGCC